UUAAAAAGAGACGGGCGAAUUCAUUUAAACAUUAUACUAUUAGCAGAGAUUUUUUAGAAUGUUAAUGUAUAAUAUAAUGUAUUGAUUUUACAUAAUGAUUUCGAUUAGUUAUUUAAACUAUUAAUGAUUCUGCAAUAUAUCGGGAAUGUGCGGAAUUCAGGAAAUCACGGAGGGAUCGAAAGUCGAAAGCUACCGUAUCAGAAAGAAGACGCACAAACCAACUGCAAGGACCAAACUCCCAAGUAAGAGGCACCAAGCAGGGGACUAAGUAGAGUUCCCAAUUCAUCCAGGGCUCUUUUUGUGGGGCAACUCUUGAUAAAGAAGUUUGGUUCCAGAACCGGACUAUAUAUAGCUGGUACUGUAUUUUUCAACUUCCUGCAUAAUUUCUAGCUCCUUUCAUGCCAGAGAUAUUACAUUCUAUGUGCUAAGAGUGAACCUUCACUAACAAGGCUUGUCUCAUUAUUGUUCAUUUUGUUGAAUCUGUUUUGUGACACAACUAUGGAACUGGUCAUGAGGAGCCUGAAGACCUGCCCUCCUCCACACUGCACAGUCCUUCAUUUCACUCUAAAACAAUCUUUUUUGUACUUUAUAUAAUGAUGUUGAUAUUGCUGUGCUGUCUGUCAGUUUUAGUAUCUAUCAGCUUCCAUCUUUGCUUUGUUUUUGUCUUAUUUGAAACCAAGACUUUAGUAUAUUCAUUU